AAACUGAAAAGCCACAGCCGUCGUGAGGCGGUGUCGGAAAGCCACGGAUCUCGAAGAAGACCGCCGGGUUGCCUGC
rnacentral:ncRNA from 1 species